GAUGAACGCUGGCUACAGGCUUAACACAUGCAAGUCGAGGGGAAACGACGGGGAAGCUUGCUUCCCCGGGCGUCGACCGGCGCACGGGUGAGUAACGCGUAUCCAACCUGCCUCUGACUGAGGGAUAACCCGUCGAAAGUCGGCCUAAUACCUCAUGGCAUCGUCUGCGGGCAUCCAACGACGAUUAAAGAUUUCAUCGGUCAGGGAUGGGGAUGCGUCUGAUUAGCUUGUUGGCGGGGUAACGGCCCACCAAGGCUACGAUCAGUAGGGGUUCUGAGAGGAAGGUCCCCCACAUUGGAACUGAGACACGGUCCAUACUCCUACGGGAGGCAGCAGUGAGGAAUAUUGGUCAAUGGGCGGGAGCCUGAACCAGCCAAGUAGCGUGCAGGAUGACGGCCCUAUGGGUUGUAAACUGCUUUUAUGCGGGGAUAAAGUGAGGGACGUGUCCUUCAUUGCAGGUACCGCAUGAAUAAGGACCGGCUAAUUCCGUG
rnacentral:rRNA from 1 species